rnacentral:rRNA from 1 species
AUUGAACGCUGGCGGCAGGCCUAACACAUGCAAGUCGAGCGAGCGGCGGACGGGUGAGUAAUGUAUGGGGACUGCCCGAUAGAGGGGGAUAACUACUGGAAACGGUGGCUAAUACCGCAUACUAUCGGAUAACCCAUAUGGGAUUAGCUAUUAGGUGGGGUAAAGGCUCACCUAGGCGACGAUCUCUAGCUGGUCUGAGAGGAUGAUCAGCCACACUGGGGCUGAUACACGGCCCAGACGCCUCCGGAGUCAGCAGUGGGGAAUAGUGCACAAUGGGCGCAAGCCUGAUGCAGCCAUGCCGCGUGUAUGAAUAAGGCCUUAGGGUUGUAAAGUACUUUCAGCGGGGUGGCGUUACUCGCAGAAGAAGCACCGGCUAACUCCGUGCCAGCAGCCGCGGUAAUUC